rnacentral:rRNA from 1 species
CCUACGGGAGGCAGCAGUGGGGAAUAUUGCACAAUGGGGGAAACCCUGAUGCAGCGACGCCGCGUGAGUGAAGAAGUAUUUCGGUAUGUAAAGCUCUAUCAGCAGGGAAGAAACCCACCCUCCGGGGUGGCUGACGGUACCUGACUAAGAAGCCCCGGCUAACUACGUGCCAGCAGCCGCGGUAAUACGUAGGGGGCGAGCGUUAUCCGGAUUCACUGGGUGUAAAGGGAGCGUAGACGGCCGUGCAAGCCAGGAGUGAAAGCCCGGGGCCCAACCCCGGGACUGCUCUUGGAACUGUGCGGCUGGAGGGCGGGAGGGGCAGGCGGAAUUCCUGGUGUAGCGGUGAAAUGCGGAGAUAUCAGGAGGAACACCGGCGGCGAAGGCGGCCUGCUGGACCGCGACUGACGUUGAGGCUCGAAAGCGUGGGGAGCGAACAGGAUUAGAUACCCGGGUAGUC